rnacentral:rRNA from 1 species
AUUGAACGCUGGCGGCAGGCCUAACACAUGCAAGUCGAGCGGAUGAAGGGAGCUUGCUCCUGGAUUCAGCGGCGGACGGGUGAGUAAUGCCUAGGAAUCUGCCUGGUAGUGGGGGAUAACGUCCGGAAACGGGCGCUAAUACCGCAUACGUCCUGAGGGAGAAAGUGGGGGAUCUUCGGACCUCACGCUAUCAGAUGAGCCUAGGUCGGAUUAGCUAGUUGGUGGGGUAAAGGCCUACCAAGGCGACGAUCCGUAACUGGUCUGAGAGGAUGAUCAGUCACACUGGAACUGAGACACGGUCCAGAAACCUACGGGAGGCAGCAGUGGGGAAUAUUGGACAAUGGGCGAAAGCCUGAUCCAGCCAUGCAGCGUGUGUGAAGAAGGUCUUCGGAUUGUAAAGCACUUUAAGUUGGGAGGAAGGGCAGUAAGUUAAUACCUUGCUGUUUUGACGUUACCAACAGAAUAAGCAACGGCUAACUUCGUG